rnacentral:rRNA from 1 species
UACGUAGGGGGCAAGCGUUGUCCGGAAUCAUUGGGCGUAAAGCGCGUGUAGGCGGUUCGGUAAGUCUGCUGUGAAAGUCCAGGGCUCAACCCUGGAAAGCCGGUGGAUACUGUCGGACUAGAGUGCGGAAGAGGCGAGUGGAAUUCCCGGUGUAGCGGUGAAAUGCGCAGAUAUCGGGAGGAACACCAAUUGCGAAGGCAGCUCGCUGGGACGUUACUGACGCUGAGACGCGAAAGCGUGGGGAGCAAACAGG